rnacentral:rRNA from 1 species
GACGAACGCUGGCGGCGUGCCUAACACAUGCAAGUCGAGCGAGAAAGUCCCUUCGGGGGCGAGUACAGCGGCGAACGGGUGAGUAACACGUGGGCAACCUGCCCCAAGGAGCGGGACAACCUCGGGAAACCGGGGCUAAUACCGCAUGGCCCGCCACGGCUCAAGCCGUGUCGGCAAAAGGUCGCUUCGGCCUCCGCCUUGGGAUGGGCCCGCGGCGCAUUAGCUUGUUGGUGAGGGUAACGGCCCACCAAGGCGACGAUGCGUAGCUGGUCUGAGAGGACGAUCAGCCACACUGGGACUGAGACACGGCCCAGACUCCUACGGGAGGGCAGCAGUGGGGAAUCUUGCGCAAUGGGCGAAAGCCUGACGCAGCAACGCCGCGUGAGGGACGACGGCCCUCGGGUUGUAAACCUACUUUCAGCGGGGACGAGGCCGACGCGGUUAAUACCCGCGAGCGGUGACGCUACCCGCAGAAGAAG